ACGAACGCUGGCGGCUGCUUAACACAUGCAAGUCGAACGGAGUGGCGACCGGGUGAGUAACGCGUGAGCAACCUGCCUAUGACAGUGGGAUAGCCUCGGGAAACCGGGAUUAAUACCGCAUAGUCAUAGAUGGGCUCGCGUCUGAUUAGCUAGUUGGUGCGAUAACAGCCCACCAAGGCGACGAUCAGUAGCCUGUCUGAGAGGAUGAACGGCGACAUUGGAACUGAGACACGGUCCAAACGCUGACGGGAGGGAGCAGUGGGGAAUAUUGCACAAGGGGGGAAAUCAUGAUGCAGCGACGCCGCGGGAACGAAGAAGGUAUUCGUAUCGUAAAGUUCUGUCCUAUGUGAAGCAGUACCAUAGAAGAAAGCUCCGGCUAAAUACGUGCCAGCAGCCGCGGUAAUUC
rnacentral:rRNA from 1 species